rnacentral:tRNA from 1 species
GGAGGUGUGGCAGAGCCAAGUUGAACGCGCCGGUCUCCAAAACCGGAGGGGUCCACGGUUAUCCAGCCCCGGGCCCUCGCGGGUUCGAAUCCCGCCGCCUCCGCCA